rnacentral:rRNA from 1 species
AACGAACGCUGGCGGCAUGCCUAACACAUGCAAGUCGAACGAGACCUUCUGGUCUAGUGGCGCACGGGUGCGUAACGCGUGGGAACCUGCCUUUAGGUUCGGAAUAACUCAGAGAAAUUUGAGCUAAUACCGGAUGAUGUCUUCGGACCAAAGAUUUAUCGCCUUUAGAUGGGCCCGCGUUGGAUUAGCUAGUUGGUGGGGUAAAGGCCUACCAAGGCGACGAUCCAUAGCUGGUCUGAGAGGAUGAUCAGCCACACUGGGACUGAGACACGGCCCAGACUCCUACGGGAGGCAGCAGUGGGGAAUAUUGGACAAUGGGCGAAAGCCUGAUCCAGCAAUGCCGCGUGAGUGAUGAAGGCCUUAGGGUUGUAAAGCUCUUUUACCCGAGAUGAUAAUGACAGUAUCGGGAGAAUAAGCUCCGGCUAACUCCGUG